CCUACGGGAGUUAGCAUCAGGGAAUCUUGCGCAAUGGGCGAAAGCCUGACGCAGCGACGCCGCGUGAGGGAUGAAGGCCUGCGGGUCGUAAACCUCUGUCAGGAGGGACGAAGACAGUGACGGUACCUCCUGAGGAAGCCCCGGCUAAUUACGUGCCAGCAGCCGCGGUAAGACGUAAGGGGCCAGCGUUGUCCGGAAUUACUGGGCGUAAAGAGCACGUAGGUGGCCUAGCAAGCGGCGGGUGAAAGCCCGCGGCUCAACUGCGGAGCGGCUCGCCGAACUGCUAGGCUCGAGCGCGGGAGAGGGCAGUGGAAUUCCUGGUGUAGCGGUGGAAUGCGUCAAUAUCAGGAAGAACACCGGUGGCGAAGGCUGCUGCCUGGAACGUUGCUGACGCUGAGGUGCGAAAGCUAGGGGAGCGAACGGGAUUAGAUACCCCUGUAGU
rnacentral:rRNA from 1 species